rnacentral:rRNA from 1 species
UACAGAGGGGGCGAGCGUUAUUCGGAAUUAUUGGGCGUAAAGGGCGCGUAGGCGGCUUUUCAAGUGACGGGUGAAAUCCCUCGGCUUAACCGAGGAACUGCCUGUCAGACUGGAAGGCUUGAGACCGGGAGAGGUGAGUGGAAUUCCCAGUGUAGCGGUGAAAUGCGUAGAUAUUGGGAGGAACACCGGUGGCGAAGGCGGCUACCUGGACCGGUACUGACGCUGAGGCGCGAAAGCUAGGGUAGCAAACAGG